UCUCGCGGUAGAGGUGCGAAAUAAAUGAGUAUGUAUUGUUAGGGUGAUGCCAAAGAGCAGUAUAGAAAGGUUAUUUUGCCGAAGCGGCUUAAUCUCAUCAUGGAAAGUCGUUGGGGUUAGACUCGACAAGGGCUAACACUGCCAUAGUUUAUAAAUUGUUACACUAUGGAGCGCUACUGUAGGG
rfam:Vibrio caribbeanicus ATCC BAA-2122 VIBC2010_10, whole genome shotgun sequence.